AGGAUGAACGCUGGCGGUGUGCCUAAUACAUGCAAGUCGUACGGAAAGGCCCUUCGGGGUACUCGAGUGGCGGACGGCUGAGUAACGCGUGGGAACGUACCCUAAAGUGAGGAAUAACUGCCCGAAAGGGUGGCUAAUGCCGCAUAUGCUCUUCGGAGUAAAGCUUCGGCGCUUUGGGAGCGGCCCGCGUCCGAUUAGCUUGUUGGUAAGGUAAUGGCUUACCAAGGCGACGAUCGGUAGCUGGUCUGAGAGGAUGAUCAGCCAGACUGGGACUGAGAACGGCCCAGACUCCUACGGGAGGCAGCAGUAGGGAAUUUCCACAAUGGGCGAAAGCCUGAUGGAGCAACACCGCGUGCAGGACGAAGGCCCUCGGGUCGUAAACUGCUUUUAUUUGUGACGAUUAUGACGGUAGCAGAUGAAUAAGGAUCGGCUAACUCCGCGCCAGCAGCCGC
rnacentral:rRNA from 1 species